rnacentral:rRNA from 1 species
AAGGUCCGGGCGUUAUCCGGAUUUAUUGGGUUUAAAGGGAGCGUAGGCCGGUCUUUAAGCGUGCCGUGAAAUUUUGUGGCUCAACCAUGAGAGUGCGGCGCGAACUGGAGACCUUGAGUGCGCGGAAGGCAGGCGGAAUUCGUGGUGUAGCGGUGAAAUGCUUAGAUAUCACGAAGAACCCCGAUUGCGAAGGCAGCCUGCCGCAGCGUUACUGACGCUGAAGCUCGAAAGCGCGGGUAUCGAACAGGAUUAGAUACCCUGGUAGUCCGCGCGGUAAACGAUGGAUGCCCGCUGUCGGCGAUAUACAGUCGGCGGCCAAGCGAAAGCGUUAGGCAUCCCACCUGGGGAGUACGCCGGCAACGGUG